CCUACGGGAGGCAGCAGUGAGGAAUAUUGGUCAAUGGACGCAAGUCUGAACCAGCCAUGCCGCGUGCAGGAAGACGGCUCUAUGAGUUGUAAACUGCUUUUGUACGAGGGUAAACGCAGAUACGCGUAUCUGUCUGCAAGUAUCGUACGAAUAAGGAUCGGCUAAUUCCGUGCCAGCAGCCGCGGUAAUACGGAGGAUUCAAGCGUUAUCCGGAUUUAUUGGGUUUAAAGGGUGCGUAGGCGGUCGGAUAAGUUAGAGGUGAAAUCCCGAGGCUCAACUUCGGAAUUGCAUCGGAAACUGUUCGGCUAGAGAGUAGUUGCGGUAGGCGGAAUGUAUGGUGUAGCGGUGAAAUGCUUAGAGAUCAUACAGAACACCGAUUGCGAAGGCAGCUUACCAAGCUACUUCUGACGUUGAGGCACGAAAGCGUGGGGAGCAAACAGGAUUAGAUACCCCAGUAGUC
rnacentral:rRNA from 1 species